rnacentral:misc_RNA from 1 species
AACAUCGCGCACCUGCGGGAACCUGCGGAAGGAUCAUUACAGAGUUGCAAAACUCCCUAAACCAUUGUGGACGUUACCUAAACCGUUGCUUCGGCGGGCGGCCCGGGUCCUUCCCGGCGCCCAUCGGCCCUCGCGGGCGCCCGCCGGAGGUAAACCAAACUAUUGCAUUGUAUGGCCUCUCUGAGUCUUCUGUACUGAAUAAGUCAAAACUUUCAACAACGGAUCUCAGAUCGGAAGAGC